CGGGGGGAGCAAGCGUUGUUCGGAUUUACUGGGCGUAAAGGGCGCGUAGGCGGUCAUGACAAGUCAGUUGUGAAAUCUCCGGGCUUAACUCGGAACGGUCAACUGAUACUGUCAGACUAGAGUGCAGAAGGGGCAACUGGAAUUCUCGGUGUAGCGGUGAAAUGCGUAGAUAUCGAGAGGAACACCUGCGGCGAAGGCGGGUUGCUGGGCUGACACUGACGCUGAGGCGCGAAAGCCAGGGGAGCGAACGGGAUUAGAUACCCGGGUAGUCCUGGCCUUAAACGAUGAAUGCUUGGUGUCUCGGGUUAUAAAGUCCCGGGGUGCCGUCGCUAACGCUUUAAGCAUUCCGCCUGGGGAGUACGGUCGCAAGACUGA
rnacentral:rRNA from 1 species